rnacentral:misc_RNA from 1 species
GAUGAAGAACGUAGCGAAAUGCGAUAAGUAAUGUGAAUUGCAGAAUUCAGUGAAUCAUCGAAUCUUUGAACGCACAUUGCGCCCGCUGGUAUUCCGGCGGGCAUGCCUGUUCGAGCGUCAUUUCAACCCUCAAGCUCUCCGGAGUUUGGUGUUGGGGCGCCUGGGGCUUUUCGACCUCAGGGCCCUCAAGUCCAUCGGCGGGACCGCCAGGACACUGAGCGCAGUAGUAUUAUUUCGCUCGGUAGGAUCUUCCACGGCGGGUCGAUCUGGCCGCUAAACCCCCCAAUUCUCACCAAAGGUUGACCUCGGAUCAGGUAGGAAUACCCGCUGAACUUAAGCAUAUCAAUAAGCGGGGGA